GAAACAUCUUACAAGUUAACAUGCACAGGCUGUCCUGAGAGACUAUUAAAGGAGGAUUGUAAGAGAGGAAUAUGCCAACAAGAACUGCAAUGAGGAGUCGUUGACAGGAGGAAACUUUUUAAAAGAGACCACACACUACCUCAUCAACAUGCUUGAAGAUGAUCUGAGCCUGAAGAGGGACAAAGGGCCUAGUGAUAAACUACCUUUCUGCAAGUAUUGACAAUUCUGCUUUUGUAUGGUGAUAAUUUCAGGGAAUACGUGGUGAUGAGGCAUCAGUGUUGCAAUUAUCUGUUUGUGAGUGAUCAAAGAUGUUUCGCAAGC